GACGUAGGGGGCGAGCGUUGUCCGGAUUCAUUGGGCGUAAAGCGCGCGCAGGCGGCCACGCAAGUCGGAUGUGAAAACCCGGGGCUCAACCCCGGGCCGUCAUUCGAAACUGCGUGGCUCGAGGCAGGUAGGGGAGAUCGGAAUUCCUGGUGUAGCGGUGAAAUGCGCAGAUAUCAGGAGGAACACCGGUGGCGAAGGCGGAUCUCUGGGCCUGUCCUGACGCUCAGGCGCGAAAGCUAGGGGAGCAAACAGGAUUAGAUACCCUGGUAGUCCUAGCCGUAAACGUUGGGUGCUAGGUGUGGGGGGAUAUCGACCCCUUCCGUGCCGAAGCUAACGCAUUAAGCACCCCGCCUGGGGAGUACGGCCGCAAGGCUAAA
rnacentral:rRNA from 1 species